AUGAAGAUCACGCAGACUGGUUGUCGAAGGAAUAGCAGCUUCCACUUCCUAUCUCUUGGAACACUCAAUCAUGGAGAAGUCAGCCACCAUACAAGAAGUCUGACUGCACUAAAAUCACCCUGCUGUGAGAAAAGUCAGGUUUACUAUGAAGAGAGAAAGACGCCCAGCCAUCCCAGGCUGCUCUAGCCAACCCUGCCCAGGCACCGUUUGCCCAGGCCUCACCUGCUUUCUCACAUCUGCAAAGCAGAGCUCAAAGUGAAGGGCAAUCACCUGAGCCCAAGCAACCUACAGAACUAUAAGAAAUCAAUUUUGUGUUCACUUGCUUUUGUUUGUUUGCUUUUUGAGAUGGAGUCUCACUCUGUUGCUCAGGCUAGAGUACAGUGGCAUGAUCUGGGCUCACUAUAACCUCCACCUCCCAGGUUCAAGCGAUUCCAGCCUCAGUCUCCUGAGUAGCUGGGACUACAAGCAUGCACCACCAUGCUUGGCUAAUUUUUGCAUUUUUAGUAGAGAUGGGGUUUCACCAUGUUGGCUAGGCUGGUCUUGAACUCCUGACCUCAAGUGAUCUGCUCAGCCUCCUAAAGUGCCAGGAUUACAGGUGUGAGCCACUGCACCCAGCCCAAUUUUUAAAUUAUUUUAAACAACUAAAUAUUUGGAUGGCUAAUUAUACAGCGUUUCAUUUCAUUGCCAACUUAGUGUAACAACACGAACAGAGUGACUGAGUGUACUGCAAUUCGUUUCGGACACUAACCAACCAGAGCUGGCACAGACUCCACAAGUCAAGGACUUUGUCCUUCACAAGACAGCUCGCACUUCAGACACCAGCUAUAAGCUUCAGGGGAUCCCAGGCCACUCAUACUCUAACUGGAUGCAAAUUUGAGAGUUCCCACAACCAUUUCAGGUUUGAUAAUUCACCAGAAUGACUCACAGAACUCAGAAACAUGCUAUAUAUGAAAUAAUAGUUUUAUUGUGAAGAAUACACAUAGGUAUCAAGAUAUUAAAAAACAGUGAAAAAUUUAAAAACUAAAAGAUUACAUAGGCCAAGGUCUGGGAGGGAACACAGAGCUUCACUGCCCUUCCCUGGAGGAGUCAGGGAGCAUCACCCUCCCAGCACUUCACUGUAUUCACCAGCCGGGAAGCUCCUCCAAACCUAGGUGUCCAGAGCUUUUAUUGAGGUCUCAUUAUGAAGGCAUGAUUGAUUAAACCCUUGGCCAUAUGACUGACCCCAAUCUCUGGUUCUUCUCCCUGGAUAGUGUCCCCAAAUCCAAUAGCCAUAUGUUAAGUUUUCCAAGUCAUUUUUAAAUCCUCUUACUUGACUUGAGGUGAGACUCUCUCCAAAAUAGUGUGAAUCAGCCAACCCUGGACAGACCAGUUUUGAACAAUUCCUAUUGCAAGCCCUGCAUGAUGGUGUCUAUUGUUAGUUUCUCAGCCACUUGGGUCUCUUCGGAACUUUUCAAUUGCAUUUUAGGUUCCAUUCCACAAUGCUUAACAAAAUACAAAAAGGUCUCUGUUUUCAUGGAUUUUAGUGCCUACUAAGAGAUAGCGAUAGUAAAUAACACAAAAAAAUACAUAAUUGGAAACAAUGUUGAGUCUUAUAAAGGAAAGAUUCACUAGAUGUGAUAGACUUUGGUGGCCUCAGUGAAUCAUGCCUUCAGGUAUUUUGCCCUCGAGUAAUCUCCUUUCAUGUUGACACUGGGUUUGGCCAUACAAUUAACUUUCACCAUUGGGACAUUCCAAACAUAGUGUAAGCAGAAGUUUGAUGAACUUGCACAUAGGAUUAAGCCUCUUGUAAUGCACUUUCUUAGAAUCCAGUUGCCAGCCUGGGGAGGAAGCCCAAGCAGCCACAUAAGAGGUCCACAUAAGAGUUAACCAAGGAGCCUAGCCAAAAACCCCCACUGAGCUCCCAGUAGGUGGCCAGCUUGAUAUACCAGACUUGUGACCUUGCAGCUAUCUCAGCACCCCAACUGACACAACACCCCGUGAACCAGAACCACCUGAUUAACUGAUACGGUUUGACACUGUGUCCCGACCCAAAUCUGCCAAUCUGAGAUCUCCAAUGUUGGGGAAGGGACCUGGUGGGGUAUGAUUGGAUCACAAGGGCGAAUUUCC
rnacentral:lncRNA from 1 species